rnacentral:rRNA from 1 species
GACGAACGCUGGCGGCGUGCUUAACACAUGCAAGUCGAACGGAAAGGCCCUGCUUUUGUGGGGUGCUCGAGUGGCGAACGGGUGAGUAACACGUGAGUAACCUGCCCUUGACUUUGGGAUAACUUCAGGAAACUGGGGCUAAUACCGGAUAGGAGCUCCUGCUGCAUGGUGGGGGUUGGAAAGUUUCGGCGGUUGGGGAUGGACUCGCGGCUUAUCAGCUUGUUGGUGGGGUAGUGGCUUACCAAGGCUUUGACGGGUAGCCGGCCUGAGAGGGUGACCGGCGACAGUGGGACGGAGAUACGGCAGAGACUCCGACGGGAGGCAGCAGUGGGGAAUAGAGCACAACGGGCGGAAGCCUGAUGCAGCAACGGCGCGUGCGGGAUGACGGCCGGCGGGGGGGAAACCGCUUACGCCUGUGACGAAGCGUGAGUGACGGUAAGGGGUAAAGAAGCACCGGCGAAGGACGUG